CACAAACGAAAUCGUGGCGCCAACAGUGAAUAAGUCACACAAAUGUGUUGUUUGCAAUAAACGAGAGAAACCGAUCCUCAAUAAGUGUUUCACAGAUGCUUGAUAUGGAGGAACCUCAUCCAAAUUCAGGAGUUGAGGCAAAAAACCUCACGACAACUAAAUUGAAGGUAGUAUUGUGUGUGCAGCAGGCAUUUCUCCACCAAAAAAUAACUUCAUCCAGCUUCUGACAAACACUGCCACAAUGCCUGCCCAGAUCAACAUGUGGAAGGUUCUACUAGCUGCACCAGAUCAGAUGUUGACCUUAUAAAGAUAAAUACAUCAAUAGAUUUACACCACCAAGCAAAUUACACAUCAAACUAGUUGCUGACUUAUCCACACGAGAAUUUGCACAACCUUGAAUAUG